rnacentral:rRNA from 1 species
CAACGUAGGUAAUCUACCUUUGGAUGGGGAAUAACAAUCGGAAACGGUUGCUAAUACCGCAUAAUGCAGCGGCACCUAAUGGUGACAGUUGUUAAAGCGGGGGAUCGAAAGACCUCGCGUCUAAAGAGGAGCCUGCGGCGGAUUAGCUAGUUGGUAAGGUAAUGGCUUACCAAGGCAACGAUCCGUAACCGGCCUGAGAGGGCGGUCGGUCACACUGACACUGACAUACGGGUCAG